GGUGCCUUCGGGAACUGUGAGACAGGUGCUGCAUGGCUGUCGUCAGCUCGUGUUGUGAAAUGUUGGGUUAAGUCCCGCAACGAGCGCAACCCUUAUCCUUUGUUGCCAGCGAUUAGGUCGGGAACUCAAAGGAGACUGCCAGUGAUAAACUGGAGGAAGGUGGGGAUGACGUCAAGUCAUCAUGGCCCUUACGACCAGGGCUACACACGUGCUACAAUGGCGCAUA
rnacentral:rRNA from 1 species